GACGAACGCUGGCGGCGUGCUUAACACAUGCAAGUCGAACGAAGAGCGAUGGAAGCUUGCUUCUAUCAAUCUUAGUGGCGAACGGGUGAGUAACGCGUAAUCAACCUGCCCUUCAGAGGGGGACAACAGUUGGAAACGACUGCUAAUACCGCAUACGAUCUAAUCUCGGCAUCGAGGAUAGAUGAACGGUGGCCUCUACAUGUAAGCUAUCACUGAAGGAGGGGAUUGCGUCUGAUUAGCUAGUUGGAGGGGUAACGGCCCACCAAGGCGAUGAUCAGUAGCCGGUCUGAGAGGAUGAACGGCCACAUUGGGACUGAGACACGGCCCAGACUCCUACGGGAGGCAGCAGUGGGGAAUCUUCCGCAAUGGACGAAAGUCUGACGGAGCAACGCCGCGUGAGUGAUGACGGCCUUCGGGUUGUAAAGCUCUGUUAAUCGGGACGAAAGGCCUUCUUGCGAAUAGUGAGAAGGAUUGACGGUACCGGAAUAGAAAGCCACGGCUAACUACGUG
rnacentral:rRNA from 1 species